rnacentral:rRNA from 1 species
ACUCCUACGGGAGGCAGCAGUGGGGAAUAUUGCACAAUGGGGGAAACCCUGAUGCAGCCAUGCCGCGUGUGUGAAGAAGGCCUUCGGUUGUAAAGCACUUUCAGUAGGGAGGAAGGUAGUGUAGUUAACACCUGCAUUAUUUGACGUUACCUACAGAAGAAGCACCGGCUAACUCCGUGCCAGCAGCCGCGGUAAUACGGAGGGGUGCGAGCGUUAAUCGGAAUUACUGGGCGUAAAGCGCAUGCAGGCGGCCUGUUAAGUCAGAUGUGAAAGCCCGGGGGCUUAACCUCGGAAUUGCAUUUGAAACUGGCAGGCUAGAGUCUUGUAGAGGGGGUAGAAUUUCAGGUGUAGCGGUGAAAUGCGUAGAGAUCUGAAGGAAUACCAGUGGCGAAGGCGGCCCCCUGGACAAAGACUGACGCUCAGAUGCGAAAGCGUGGGGAGCAAACGAGGAUUAGAUACCCUGGUAGACUGUCA